GCACUAGUAAGAGUCUGUGUUCAAAAACUCCCUCUAGAUAAGAGGUAAGAACAUCUGCCGAGUGUAUAUUUCAUCAGCCUGAUUGCUGAUUACAUGCGUUUGUAAUGUCAGAGAGGGCCUACACUGUAGACCAUUUCCAAGAAUGAUCAACAGGUUUCAUAAGAUGGACGAGGUCACUACCUGGCAGAGCUGCACUGCAGACCGAGGGGUGGAGUUGCUGUGGGUCUAUUUGUUUAGAAUAGUCCAAACAUCCGAGACCUUGGGUCAGGGAGUGGACGCAACCUGCGACGCCUCCCUGCUCUUCAGACCAGCGAAUGAAACCUGCAUCUGCUGCAUCUCUACCAGGACCAGCUCAAACUCCACGUGCCACUGGUGGGAAACAGUAGUGAGGUAAUCUCUAUCUGUCUGGUGAAUCCUGCAAUAUGUGCACAGCAGAGACUGAAGGUGUCCUUAUAAGAGUACCUCACCCCCCUGAGCCCCUGUCGAAAGGAUGGCUGUUGAGGUGCAAACAAGUCAUUGGCCAGAUCUUCCAGAGGAGACCUCAUCUGAACAAACAGCUCCUCCUGCUGGUGGCUCUGGUGCUGGUGGCUCUGUGUUGCAUGGUCCUGCUUCUGCUAUGGAACUAUCAUUGCUUCCUAAUCACAAGAGUGUGCCAGGACCAAGGAAUAGACUACAUCAUUCGCUUUGACGAGGAGGAGAAGGAGGUGGCGGUGGCAGGGGGGCCAUCUUCACAGGAACAAGCCUGAGGGGAGGCCAGCUGUUCGAGAAAAGACUUGUUUUAUACAAGGUCAGAAGGAGAAAAAAGAGAGCGAGAGUGAGUGAGAGACAUUAGACUAUCAGGACUGCUGAAGAUUCUACAUCAUUUUCUACUCACUUCUCAUUUUAUCUUUUAACUGACCUAAGGAUCCCAAUAGUAUAUUGUAAAAAUACAAAAAAAAAAAAGUAUAAUAGUAUACUAUUUUUAGGAAACACGUAAAUAAUUAACAACUUAUAGCUGGUCUGUAGCAAUGGAAAUAAACUGAGCUUUGGAAAUGGAUGCAGAAAAAUUUGAAUUUCCAAAGCCUUUGUCUGUAGUAAAGCAGUGCUGAAACAGAUUGUGCUACUAUUCGAAACAAAAGCAGCAACUACAAAAAGACACAUAAACACAGAUAACUCUGUACUUAUUAAAAGUAUACAUCAAGACUCCCUGAUGCCCGCGAGUCACAUAUAAUCUCCUGGAAUUACGGAAAACGAGUGCCCCAAGAGUGCACUGCACACAAACGCUCACACAGGCCACAGACUUUUUUUCUCUAAUCGCGUGUGGGAAGGAGAGAGAGAAAACAGAGAGGGUUCUGAUUGGCCUGUUCUCUGCAAAGAGUCUGUGAGACAGCCAAUCAGUUUUUAGUGUGGGUGGGCAGUGUUUUCCCCCCCUCCCGGACAGGAAUUGUUCAGUGAGUGAGAGAAAGAUCAUGGAGGAGGCAGGGAAAGCAGAGGCAGGGCCUUCCAAAAAGAAAAAAUAUAAAACUCAUUUCACCUCUGAAUUAAUUAAAAUAAAAGUAAAGUUUCGUUA